AAUGAACGCUGGCGGCAUGCCUAACACAUGCAAGUCGAACGAAGGCCCUAGCUUGCUAGGUGUCCUUAGUGGCGGACGGGUGAGUAACGCGUGGGAACCUGCCCUAGAGUGCGGAACAACAGUUGGAAACGACUGCUAAUACCGCAUAAUCCCUGAGGGGGAAAGGCUUCGGCCGCUCUUGGAUGGUCCCGCGUCUGAUUAGCUAGUUGGUAGGGUAAUGGCUUACCAAGGCGACGAUCAGUAGCUGGUUUGAGAGGAUGAUCAGCCACACUGGGACUGAGACACGGCCCAG
rnacentral:rRNA from 1 species